rnacentral:rRNA from 1 species
AUGAUGUGGAUUAAUUCGAUGCAACGCGAAGAACUUACCUACCCUUGACAUGUCCGGAACUUGCCAGAGAUGGCUUGGUGCCCGAAAGGGAAUCGGAACACAGGUGCUGCAUGGCUGUCGUCAGCUCGUGUCGUGAGAUGUUGGGUUAAGUCCCGCAACGAGCGCAACCCUUAUCAUUAGUUGCUACGCAAGGGCACUCUAAUGAGACUGCCGGUGACAAACCGGAGGAAGGUGGGGGAUGACGUCAAGUCCUCAUGGCCCUUAUGGGUAGGGCUUCACACGUCAUACAAUGGUCGGUACAGAGGGUUGCCAAGCCGCGAGGCGGAGCCAAUCCCACAAAGCCGAUCGUAGUCCGGAUUGUUCUCUGCAACUCGAGAGCAUGAAGUCGGAAUCGCUAGUAAUCGCAGGUCAGCAUACUGCGGUGAAUACGUUCCCGGGUCUU